ACACCCUUAAAUGGAGCAGAAUUUCUAAAUACCCAUGAGUCACACAGCUAAAAUGUCCCCUGGGGAGCCCAACUUGGCAGCCUACAUUUUCCUAUUAAAAAAUCAAGUUGAGAGAUUUUUCAUGGCAUCCAGCUCAGUGCCAGGAUGAGCCCAUCUGUGUGUGGUGGAGGAGCUGGCCGUCGGGAGAGCCGGGAGGCCACGCCUUUCACCUGGUGGAAACACACAUAACAGAAGCCACUCGGCGGAAUGACGGACUGUCGUGCCCCUGGAGUGGAGAGAACAUUGGCUAAGGAGUGUGUGCACCAGGUGUGUGCCCUGACCACGGGAAGUCGGAAGAGGACGUCCUACCCAAACCAAAACCCCAAAACCUGGAACCUGAGUUACAGACGGUUGUGAGCCAUCGUGUGAGUGCUCCUAGCUGAGCCCCAAGCCCUCAGCAAGAGGGCUGAGUCCUCUCUCCACACACACCGCUUUUCAAAGGAGAAAACAAGACAACGAAACACACGGAGAAUUCCUACGCCUGCCAUUUCAAGUUAGCGAAGGCUUACUUCAAACUUGUUAAAGAAGAACCAAAACAUCACAGAGCCAAGACGCCCCUGUGUUCUGAUGGAAGCUUCACCGAGGCUCCUGGCGCCCAUGUACCCAACGAGUCUGGAAUGCUCUGGUGGGAGUUCCACCUCAGUACCCCUUCCCCAUCCCGCCUCAAACCCUGCCCCAUCUCAGAAAGCCCACCAAACAGGGCUGCUCCCCCAGGGAUGCUCAAGGCCACUCCCACAGGGUAUUUAAAUUGCCCCCACCCUAGAAAUCAGACACUUUUCUGUCUCCUCUCUGGGGUGCUGGGAAAUCAUCCAGGAGUGUUUUUAUCCAUCAAACCUGGGCUUUUUCUAGUUCACUUUGAUUUGGUCUGAUAUGGGUUGCCGCGUCAGCGGAGAGGCUUACGGGGGUGCAGAAACUUUUCGCUGUGUCUCUGCACCCACCCCAUUCCUCCCCAUCUUUAGAGUAAGUACAAUGGACUCUAUGUGUCCUGGGUUAUGUAUUUUCAUAACACAUAUAUGUUGGUAAUGUGUAACCCUGCUUUUUUUUUUUUGUCUAAUUGUGUGAAGAAUAGUGCCACCCUGUACACAUUAUUCUGUCACUUGCUGCUCUCAUUCAGCAUUGGCUGGUUAAGGUCUGGCUGUGUUGACACAUGCAGAGUGGAUCCGUGCAUUCCAGUGACGACACAGCAUCCCGUCAUAUGGACCACCCUGGUCUGUUAGUUCUAUCACGGGGAUUUGGUGGAUCUAUCUAUCUAUCUAUCUAUCUAUCUAUCUAUCUAUCUAUCUAUCUAUCUAUCUAUCCAUCCAUUCAUUUAUUAUUGUUUUCUACAAGCAAUACCUAUAAGACUCAUUUGAGAAUUUCUCUAGAAUAUCCCAGAAAUGGAGAGUUCAGUCACUGAGUAUGUAAUUUACAGUUUUAUUAGAUUCUUCCAAAAGUUGUUCUUCAGAAUGCCUUUACCUCGUGGUCAAAUUCCUGUUUCCCUACAUCAUUUUCUAUUUUUACCAAGUUAAAAAAUGUGCAAACCAAUUCACUUGUUUAACCCUGGCUUGUUGGUAAGGCCCAGGCUCUCUUGGUGUGAUUCUUGGACAUUUAAUAUUCUUGUGUGAAUCACUGGCUUUAUAGGUUUUUUCCUAUUAGGCUCUUUAUCCUUUUAAAAAGUUGACUUAGGGAACUUUAAAUAUCUUGAACAUAAAUUUUUAUGAUAUACUGGUUACUUUAUUUUCUGGUUUUAUAUUUUAACAUUUUGUUUAUGAUUUCUGAUUUUAAUGCCCUCUGAUAAAUCCUUUCUUAUCUCCAUGUCAUUAAAAACACUGCUGCACAUUUAGGUCCUUAAGCCAGCUGAGUUUAUUUUUAGUGUGAAGUAGAGACUCCUAAGCUUUUCCACGUAGGAAAUGGGCAUUCUUACUUGAUGGUUCACAAGUUCCCCUGUAAUUGAUAAUGCCUCCUCUAUCAAAAACUAAGCUCCGAUUUCUAGGGGCUGUAUUUACGGAUUCCUGUACCAUUUUAUUGAUUUGUGUUUCUGUCCUCAUCAUACAUCCCCUCUCCUGAUAAGGUAAGAUAAGACCCAUAGCCUUCCUGUCUUGACCACACCCACCUGCUCCCUCAGUUUUAUGCACACAUCACCAGAAGAAGCUUUCCAAGAGUCCUCGUUGUUUGCUGGCUGUCUGCCGUGUGCCGGGCGGCAUGCUAACUGCAUGUGUGUUAUCCAUCCUAAUAAGAUAAUCCCUGUUUUUCCAAUCAGGCCCCUGAGGCUCUGGAGUUGAGUGAUUUGCCUGUGUUCCACAGCCAGGAGAAGAUGAGGCAGGGGCUUGAGCCCAGUUCUGUCCAUCCUCAAGGGCUGGUAGUGUUCCAUUUUCAUUUCUAGCCUUCAAGAUCUCCACACCCUGGUAAAAUGGGUAUCAAUCUUUCCCUCCGGUGCUGUCACAGGGACCAUGUGAGAUGAUACAUAUGAAAGCACUUGACGCACGCCUAACCUGUAACAGGUGCCCCAUAAACAUCAGCUGACAUGAAGCAGCAGCAGGAGGUGCUGGCUAAAAAAGAGGCACGGAUCAUCAAAUUUUACCGAGUUUGCUUACACUACUGUCUUUUCGAUUGAGAGAGGGUGAGAGAGAUCUUUAGUCAGCCUCCUCUUCGCCCUGCAUCCCAGGAACAAGGAAGACUGUAAGAGGACACGCCUAAGGUCCAGGAUCCUUUGCAGCCUCCUGUAUUUCAUGCCAAACCUGGAAGGCUGGGAGCCAAGCUCUGCGCUUGCCUAGAAACACCUGGAGAAGAAAUGGCCACUGCAAUGCAGAUCUCACCUCUCCAGGCACCCAGAGCUAGAGGGGUAUCAUCAUCCUCCCUACCCUUUAGUGACUGCCACGGCACCUAGGCAACUGGGAGACCUCACUCUGAAGAGGAAGGUGAAACAUCACAGCCUUUCCAGGCAGCUCACUGAUGAAGGAGGCUCAUGGGCUUGCAGAACGCAGCACCGGCAUGUAGGCCGCCUUCUAUGCUGGACGACUGUGACAGCUCACAAUUUUCUUGCUAACUCAAGUUAUAGGAAAAGCAAAUGCGAAUGCACACACGUGCAUGACUACACAUGUAUACACAUACACACACACACACACACACACACACGUCACCCUUGCUUACUGUUUCAGAAGCCACCGGCGAUGAUCAGUGUUACUGGCUUUCUCCGACUCCUCCAUGCACAUCUGCUCUGUGUCAUUGACAGCUCCACCAGGGCCCCCCAGGGCACUCUGCAGGGGUCAGAAAAACAUCAGUUGGAAGGACAGUACACCCUCUCCCUUGUUUGACUUGGAAAUUCUUUCUGAGUCAUGUAAGAAGCAAUAUGCUGAGUCCUAGAGGCAGUGAAAAUGACAUCAGGUUAGGAGAGAGAACCCCAAAAGCCAAAAGGGCAAAGCCUCCGCUGGAGUCUGACUGGAAGCAUUUAAGACAGCCGCUGUCAUGGUAAUAUUCUUUUGAAGGUACCUGAUUUUUUUUUUACACUGUACAGUUUCCCCAAACCAAGUGGGGACCCUGAACCUCGUAAACUUCCCAUAUGGUUGAGAGGAAAAGAAUAAUAUUCAACUUCUGUUUGAGAUUAAAGAGGGUUUAAAGAGAAUGUGCUCUUUGGAGGGGUCCAAAAGGUCCCCCAUCCCCUGACAUACUAACAUGAUACCAGUUUCCUCUUUCCACACCAAACACACAAGCCCUGGACACACCCAGGACUAGACCAAUUCUAGAGAGUGACACUGACAACUGUGCCCUUCUCCUUUAUCGCGGAGACCUUCCAGGAUGCGGUAAGUCACAGCACAUGAUUGGAGGAGUAACUAACUCAUGAUGAGCACGGAUAAUUGUGACCUGCCUGGUGUCUAGUGGUGCUGUAAGACUUCUAGCCCUCAUCCUGACCUUUGCUUGGUGAGUGUGUUGGUUACUUUCCUUAUUGCUGUGGCAAAAUGUCUGACACAAAUCACUCAAGCAAGGAAGAAUUUAUUUGGGAUCCCAUUUUGAGGCUGUACUCCAUCGUGGAGGGGAGGCAUGGUGGUCAGAGCUUCUUUAGCUGUGGGGCAGGAGCAUGGGGUAGCUGGUCACAGUGUAUCCAUAGUCAGAAAGCAGAGAGAGAUGAAGGCUGGCUCUCAGCUGUGGGCAGGAGCAUGCAGGAGCUGGUCACAUUGUAUCCAGUCAGAAAGCAGGGAGGGAUGGAUGUUGCUGUGUAACUGUCCUUCCUCUUUUUGUUCAGUCAGGUCCCCAGUCCAGGGAACCUUGGCGUCCACAUUCAGGAUGGUUCUUUCCCUCCACGGUUAAAUCUCCUUGGAAGCACGGUCACAGAUGUACUCAGAGGUCCGGAUAUGUCUGCUACAUCUUGUGCCACUGGGAAGUCUGAGAUCCCCGGGAGAGACAUUCCAGGAGCUCUGACUGUUUCUGUUGGAAUUUCCGUUUACUCCUUAUCCCUUCCUCUCCAUCCCUUCCCUACACUCUGUUUUUCCCCCCUUUGGUUUUUCGAGACAGUGUUUCUCUGUGGCUUUGGAGGCUG